rnacentral:tRNA from 1 species
CAGAAAAUAAUUUAUUUAAAAUGUUGAUUUUGGAUAUCAUUAAAGGAGUACUAUUUCUUUUCUGA